GUUUUUACAACCCCUCUUCAGGGAAACCCUGUGUGGAGUCCUUACAGGGGAGCCAGCACUUGACUUCCUGCCACAUGGGGGCCAAUUUGUGUUUGUCAAGAAAGCAGCUACAACCAACAGCAAGAGGGCUCUGAGAAUGGCAGUUGAGUAGAGAGCCACUCCACUGUGACCUCACCGUCCUUCUCAUCCUGCAGAGUUAAGGGGACAGAGGCACCCAGAGCUAGACCAUGCCCACUCCUUUCCCUGCUCUAAGAGUAAGAAUCCCUGUACUUAGUGGAAGGAUGGAGGGUGAGAAAAGUUUAAAAUUGGAUUGAAUAAGUUUUAAUACUUUGAAGAAGUGUCUUCAAAGGCUGAAUUCCAGACCUCCAGUGGGUUGCAACGUCUGACGCUGCAGAACCAAAGCAACAAGACCUACUGAAGUGACCACCUCCGAAAAUGGGCUUCUGGAUGCUUCAAAACUGUUUAGAAACCAGGCAGCCUUGGGGAGGUAAACAUAUCUUAAGGACAGACUCCUCGUUAUCCAAGGACCCUCCCUCGGAUGUCGAGAAACCAAUACCUGGCCCUCUUCAAAGCUGGUUCCCAGAAUCUAUCAGGUCUUAGCUAAGCCUUUGAGAACAGAGGGCCAUGGCAGCAGCAGGUGCAGCUCAUGCCAGCUGAUCCUCAUGAAAUGAGCCACUCAGGACCCACCAGUCUCCACUAGAAGGGAAAGUGGCUCCUUAGAGACUGGAAGGACUGAGCACGAACACUGAGCCCUCAUCUACAGCCAGUAGUAGCACAUCAGAACUCCAGUAACCAAGAUACCAAUAGAGAACAUCCAAAAUGAUGCCGAGAAGUUUUAUUGAUACAAAAACCCUGUGGGCUCUUUACCUCGAAAAGCCUUAAGAGAG
rnacentral:lncRNA from 1 species